GGGAAGGUGGCUCAGUGGUAGAGCGCUUGCCUCGCAUGCAGGAGACCCUGGGUUCAAUUCCUCAGUGCCA
rnacentral:tRNA from 1 species